AGUGAACGCUGGCGGUAGGCCUAACACAUGCAAGUCGAACGGCAGCACAGUAAGAGCUUGCUCUUACGGGUGGCGAGUGGCGGACGGGUGAGGCAUACAUCGGAAUCUACUUUUUCGUGGGGGAUAACGUAGGGAAACUUACGCUAAUACCGCAUAAGACCUACGGGUGAAAGCAGGGGAUCUUCGGACCUUGCGCGAUUGAAUGAGCCGAUGUCGGAUUAGCUAGUUGGCGGGGUAAAGGCCCACCAAGGCGACGAUCCGUAGCUGGUCUGAGAGGAUGAUCAGCCACACUGGAACUGAGACACGGUCCAGACUCCUACGGGAGGCGGCGGUGGGGAAUAUUGGACAAUGGGCGCAAGCCUGAUCCAGACAUACCGCGUGGGUGAAGAAGGUCUUCGGGUUGUAAAGCCCUUUUGUUGGGAAAGAAAAGCAGCAGGUUAAUACGCCGCUGUUCUGACGGUACCCAAAGAAUAAGCACCGGCUAACUUCGUG
rnacentral:rRNA from 1 species